rnacentral:rRNA from 1 species
CGCUGGCGGCAGGCUUAACACAUGCAAGUCGAGCGGUAGCACAGGGGAGCUUGCUCCCUGGGUGACGAGCGGCGGACGGGUGAGUAAUGUCUGGGAAACUGCCUGAUGGAGGGGGAUAACUACUGGAAACGGUAGCUAAUACCGCAUAACGUCGCAAGACCAAAGAGGGGGACCUUCGGGCCUCUUGCCAUCAGAUGUGCCCAGAUGGGAUUAGCUAGUAGGUGGGGUAAUGGCUCACCUAGGCGACGAUCCCUAGCUGGUCUGAGAGGAUGACCAGCCACACUGGAACUGAGACACGGUCCAGACUCCUACGGGAGGCAGCAGUGGGGAAUAUUGCACAAUGGGCGCAAGCCUGAUGCCGCCAUGCCGCGUGUGUGAAGAAGGCCUUCGGGUUGUAAAGCACUUUCAGCGAGGAGGAAGGUGGUGAACUUAAUACGUUCAUCAAUUGACGUUACUCGCAGAAGAAGCACCGGCUAACUCCGUGCCAGCAGCCGCGGUAAUACGGAGGGUGCAAGCGUUCAUCGGAAUUACUGGGCGUAAAGCGCACGCAGGCGGUUUGUUAAGUCAGAUGUGAAAUCCCCGGGCUCAACCUGGGAACUGCAUUUGAAACUGGCAAGCUAGAGUCUCGUAGAGGGGGGUAGAAUUCCAGGUGUAGCGGUGAAAUGCGUAGAGAUCUGGAGGAAUACCGGUGGCGAAGGCGGCCCCCUGGACGAAGACUGACGCUCAGGUGCGAAAGCGUGGGGAGCAAACAGGAUUAGAUACCCUGGUAGUCCACGCUGUAAACGAUGUCGAUUUGGAGGUUGUGCCCUUGAGGCGUGGCUUCCGGAGCUAACGCGUUAAAUCGACCGCCUGGGGAGUACGGCCGCAAGGUUAAAACUCAAAUGAAUUGACGGGGGCCCGCACAAGCGGUGGAGCAUGUGGUUUAAUUCGAUGCAACGCGAAGAACCUUACCUACUCUUGACAUCCAGAGAACUUUCCAGAGAUGGAUUGGUGCCUUCGGGAACUCUGAGACAGGUGCUGCAUGGCUGUCGUCAGCUCGUGUUGUGAAAUGUUGGGUUAAGUCCCGCAACGAGCGCAACCCUUAUCCUUUGUUGCCAGCGGUUCGGCCGGGAACUCAAAGGAGACUGCCAGUGAUAAACUGGAGGAAGGUGGGGAUGACGUCAAGUCAUCAUGGCCCUUACGAGUAGGGCUACACACGUGCUACAAUGGCAUAUACAAAGAGAAGCGACCUCGCGAGAGCAAGCGGACCUCAUAAAGUACGUCGUAGUCCGGAUUGGAGUCUGCAACUCGACUCCAUGAAGUCGGAAUCGCUAGUAAUCGUAGAUCAGAAUGCUACGGUGAAUACGUUCCCGGGCCUUGUACACACCGCCCGUCACACCAUGGGAGUGGGUUGCAAAAGAAGUAGGUAGCUUAA